rnacentral:SRP_RNA from 1 species
GCCGGGCACGGUGGCUCAUGCCUGUAAUCCCAGCACUUUGGGAGGCUGAGGCGGGUGGAUCACCUGAGGUCAGGAGUUUGAGACCAGCCUGGCCAACAUGGUGAAACCCCGUCUCUA